CAAUAGCGUAUAUUAAAGUUGCUGCAGUUAAAAAGCUCGUAGUUGCAUUUCCGAGGCAAGGGAUUAGUCCGACCUUUGGUGGGUAUUUAAUCCUCUUGCCUCGUCCUUGAGUGGUGCUUCUUGGUAUUAAGUUAUCGAGGAGAUAGCCGCUCAUCGUUUACUGUGAGAAAAUUAGAGUGUUCAAAGCAGGCUUAUGCCGUUGAAUAUAUUAGCAUGGAGUAAUAAGAUAGGACCUCGGUACUAUUUUGUUGGUUUGAGAACCAAGGUAAUGAUGAAUAGGGACAGUUGGGGGUAUUCGUAUUCAGUUGUCAGAGGUGAAAUUCUUAGAUUUACGGAAGACGAACUACUGCGAAAGCAUUUACCAAGGAUGUUUUCAUUAA
rnacentral:rRNA from 1 species